rnacentral:lncRNA from 1 species
CGACAUGUGCAAAUUAUGAUGAAAAAUUAGAAACUUCAAUGAAAGAAUACAUGGCCUGGUUAUCUGGCCAGUGGUUAAUUCUCGAAUUAGAGAUUGGAUGAGCUAAGAGUAAUAGGAAAAGUUAUAAUAUUUAAAGGAUUAUCUGAGUCGUGCCUAGAUGUAAAUAGGUUGGGUAUCUUGACAGUUUGCUUUCGCAGCUGCAUUUUUUUCUAGAUUACUUCGGAAAUGUAGUACAAUAAGUGUGACAAAUUAAGAAACUACCCUAGAUUUUGCUUGGAUGCUAUAGCUUAGCUUUAUUGCUCCUCAGUUUUUUAAGAUUGUAUAAUAUGGCAUAAUCACCACUGCCCACCACAGCCACCUCCAUUGCCCGCAUUGUAUAAGAUACCAUUACUAAAGGAGGUGGCACAGAAGCAAGAAUAAUGCAAUUGUGGAGGUGGUGGUUAGCCGUGGUAGUAGGUGCAGUACAGCAUGUUUGGAAAAUUUAGGUUUUCAAAGUUACUUCUGCUGAAAUGUACUUUCUUUUUCUU